rnacentral:rRNA from 1 species
UGGGGAAUAUUGGACAAUGGGCGAAAGCCUGAUCCAGCAAUGCCGCGUGAGUAAUGAAGGCCUUAGGGUUGUAAAGCUCUUUUACCCGGGAUGAUAAUGACAGUACCGGGAGAAUAAGCCCCGGCUAACUCCGUGCCAGCAGCCGCGGUAAUACGAAGGGGGCUAGCGUUGCUCGGAAUCACUGGGCGUAAAGCGCGCGUAGGCGGAUUCUUAAGUCGGUGGUGAAAGCCUGGAGCUCAACUCCAGAACUGCCUUCGAUACUGAGAGUCUUGAGUCCGGGAGAGGUGAGUGGAACUGCGAGUGUAGAGGUGAAAUUCGUAGAUAUUCGCAAGAACACCAGUGGCGAAGGCGGCUCACUGGCCCGGUACUGACGCUGAGGUGCGAAAGCGUGGGGAGCAAAC